UCAGUUGGAUCUAGAACCCUCUACGAACUUUUCACCUCAUCUCUCUUCUCUCCCAUCCUCCUCUUCAAAUCUCCGUUGCUGGAACUCCAACUACUCCCCAUCUCACCUCCACAAGUUCAUAAUCACCCUUAUCCGUUCGAAAUCUUCUCUCACCAGGUUGUCCCUCUCUAUUCAAUCUAAAAAUUAAUGUUCUGCGUGAAUGGGAAGAAGGGAAAAACCCUAGGUUUCGGCGUAGGGAAAAAGGUGACAUCCUAAAGCAGAAAGGAUGGUUUGGAUAUUCCGGCGGGUCAUAUUGCUUCGUUUACGAAGGCUGGGAAACACACCGUACUACCGAUCACGAAGUGUUGGUGGUGGAGCUCUGGUUUAACUCGCCACCGUCCUUGGCUACCUUGAGGCUUAGGGUUUUUUCGAUGAGCUGAUGACAAGGAGGUAUCCGGUCCAAUACUGCACGAUCUCUGGUCCGACCUGCAAAACAAGAAUAUUCCUCUCGGAAUGUUCCAUCCGAUGCCUAAGUAAGUAAGGGUAUCUAGAGAGAUAAAGUAGAGAGAAGGUAGAGCAUAAUAAUUUUAGGUGGUUGUUGUGUGACUGAAUGAUCCUCGUACCUUGGGAUUUGGAGCUUUAUGUAGUAUUAGAUUUUCCAAGGAGUGACCUAGAAUCCCUACCACAUGAUUGGCUGAGCUUGGAGGAGAGGACAUGUGUCCUCUGCUUUGUGCAACCAUAGUGAUGGGAAGACAUAAAUGGGCUUUUGGGCCUUUGUGCAUAAUGGAAAGUUUACUAAGCUUCCCCCAAUCAUGUUGACAUAGGUGGUUUGAACAUUGAGCCACGUGUCAUACCUGAAUUUGGACACGUUACCUCAUUCCAUGCAAGAAUAGAUGCAAUGACAAGUAAUAGGUGGCAGUCCAUGUGGGAUAGCUUACUGGGCAUAAGUUGGGACCCGUGUCACCUUCCGAUUGGUACAAGUGUCACGGUAAUUUUGCCUACAAUAUUUUCCCCUUAAUGAGGGUAUUUUUGGAAACGAUCUUCCAGGUAUCCCUUCUUGACCCUUGGUAUUCUUAAGGUGCUUUAGGCCAUUUAGGGGGAUGGUGACAAGUGUCACAAAUCUCAAUUCUGCCCCUCUAUAAAUAUGAGGGUAACUUCUUCAUUUUUUUACUUUCACUUUUCUUGAUUUUACUAACCUCUGAGAUAGGCGAUAUCCGGCAAGAGAGAAACACUAGGAGGUGAUUUUCGGCCACCGUGAUACUCAACUUGUUCUUCACUAAUCUCAACCUGUUCUUCGCAAAACUGAUCCUGUUCCUCGCGAAACUCAACAUAUUCUUCAUCAAACUCAUCCUAUUUUCGACUUCAAAUCUUUGAGGUAGGCUGCUUUACCCUCUUUUAAUGUUUUCUUUCUAUUUGUGUUUUUUGCUUUUGGCAAUUCUGGCAUGCCUAGACUUUUAGGAACUAGCCGGCGAGAGGUGAGCGUUAGGUGUCGUAGAGGCUAUGUAUUGGAGUGCCCCGUCGGUUCAUUUCUUGUAUAUAUACUCGUCCUUCUUGUUUCGUCUUUCCGAGCCCUCCUUAAGUCUUAUUCUGUUAUACUAUGCAGACGGUUAUGGCAAGAAUAAAGAAGACGACUUACUCUACUCGCUUACAUCCGCGGGACAGGGCUUUAAUGCCUCCUUUCGAAGGUAAUUCGUCUAGUGAGCCGACACAGGAUAGUAGCUUUGCCGACAUCUUUCGAGAGAUUGAUGAUUAUGCCGACCAUGGAGAAGAAAGGGCGGCUAGUUCUUCUGAGCGAACCCUGGGGGAUGAGGCACGCCAAGGAGUUUGCGCUAAUCCGGAGGAGGUGUUGGCUCCUCCUCUGGCCCAAAUUAGGCGAGGUGUUCAAGAAGAAGCAAACCUUCUUCCCUCGAAAAUUCAUCCAGAUCAGGGAUGUAUGAGGUGGUUGGAUAAGCACGACGCUGACUAUCGAGAUGGCCUAUGCAUAGGAGAGGGUUAUGAGCUGAGGGUGCCGACGGAUAUGGAGUCUACCGUUAGUCUUCUGGCGGACGGCGAAUUCCCAGUGUAUGCCGCCGCCAUCAAACUGGGCAUGAGGUUCCCUCCUCACCUUGUCCUUGUGGAUGUUCUAGACGGUUUUAACAUUGGGGUGGCCUAGUUGACUCCGAAUUAUUGGGCCAACGUCUUUGGCUAUAUUGCCAAAUGUGCGCUGAAGGGAGUUCAACCGUCUUUCUCAGCCUUUCUUCACUUAGUGUCAAUUUCCAGAUCCCCAAACGUCGCCGAGGGGUGGUUCACUUUGAGAAGCCGAGGCGCUUAUCAAAUUUCAUGGGCAAGGCCUCUAAGUGGCUUAAGUGGAGAAAGAGAUGGGUCGUCUUUCACACCGAGGACGAAGAGGUGUAUUAUAGGAUGAGCCGCUGGAGUACUGUGGCUAACUAUAUGGACCAUGAGGAAGUGCUUCCACCUUUGACGGGGGCUGAAUGGGAUCAGGUAAAUGUUAUUUUCAAGUUAACCUUCCACCACCUCUCGGCUGACAAGUCCUUUUAUAUGCCGGCAAAUUGGUUGCCUCACGUUAAUUAGUUUGAGAAUGAGGCGUUCCUAGCGGCCGUCGGUUUAGGAUAUUAAAUGUCUAGAGGUAGCGAGUGAUUUUGUGAUUGUGCCUUUAUGAAUCUUUAAAUUUUACCUAGUAGUUAUGUACUUAACCAUCAUCUACUUCUAUAUUUUACUAAAGAAGGCAUGAGUAAGCUGAAGGACACCGACAUUGGUGAGGGAGACGUAUCAGAUUGGAUGGCGGAGAUUUAUGAUGCCAAGAUGAAGAAAGCCACCGCCGAGCUAGAGGAGAAGCAAAAUCAGCUGCGAAGGACAAAGGUACUGGCCUUGCCCAACUACAAAGAGGUCCGCCCCUACCGAAGGGGUUGGCUAGUGUUUUGAAGAAGGCGAGACCUCAACCCCGCUGCUUUGCCAAGAAGAGUGAGGCCCUGUUUCCAGAGGAGGACAAAUGUGAUGUGGUUGUGGAUAAGCCGGCCAAGGUGAUGGACUUGGAGUCUAAGUCUGCUGAAGAUCGAGUGGCCAAGCCGGACCCGUUGGCCGGCAUAUCUACAACCUUUCGCUCCCAAAUCCCCAAGGCUAUUGCCCGUCGGGCGAAGGAGUAUGGUGGUGAGUUUUAUACAAACGUCGUAAGGAUGUAUUGUUCUUCAUCUAGUUGUUCUUCUUUCUCCCCUCGUCAUCCUAAGGUCAUUGUUUUUCCUAUAGCUCAACUUGAUGAGCAAAAGGAGGCCAAAGAGGAGACCCGACAAAUUCCUGAUACUCUUAACUUCUAGGCCAGGGAUCAGGUGCCUGUUUGUCGUGCCAUGUAUAAAGUUGUUAUGACGGAUUACAUUGCUUCCCUCCUUGGUCAGUCUGAAGCUGAACUCGGCGUCAUCCAGGCCACUCUAGCUGAUCUCUUUCUCCGUGUCGAGUUCUGCAAGAAUUGGAAGAAGAGGGUUAGCAAGGAGCUUAAGACCCCUGUCUCCAACGCCGUCAACCAUGGACCCUAUUCCUUUUCCAAGACGGAGAUCAUUCGGACGGAGAUGCAUACUACCAUUUACCUCUAGGCAAAGGAAAUAGCUGCUCUUAAAUCGAACAGGGCCAGACUGCUCAAGAAGAUCCUUGCGCAGAACGCGUCUUUAUCAAAGCUGACCGCGGAGGGCAAGAAUGCCGAGGAAGAGGUGGCGGAGUUUCGGGACCAACUUGAGGAGCUUCCUCAGAUUAAGGAGCGAGAGGAGCAAGCAGAACAACUUUAAGGGGAGUUGAACGCGGUGUUGUCACAAAUCUAGGAAUUCCGCAAACGACUUUAGGAGUCGUAUGGCCAGGGAGAGAUGGUUGUUCGAAACACUGCUCGUCUUGCUUGGGAGACGCACAUGGAUGGGUCAGACUUUUCUUGGUUCUAACGAAGCUUCGAUCAUAGUUCUUACGUUCUUGCCGCGGAGCGACUUGAUCGUCCUGCCCCAAAAUUUGGGAUCUCCAAUGAUGAAGACGACUCCCCUGACUCUUGAUCUUUAUAUUUAUGUUGUUUUUACGCCUGUUGGCGUAUUUUAAGAAAUUUUUAAUAUUUUGCGCCACCGGCAUAUGUAUCUUUGUGCCAGCUGAGCAGUUAACAAUCUUUUUUUUUUUGUUUUUGUGUUAUCUUUACGCCGCUUAGGCGUUUUGGAUGACUUGGCGUCGCCGUGCACUUUUAUUUAAUAUUUUCUGUUGCCUGGGAAAUGUUUUACUUUGAUGUGAGUUUUCAUAUUUUACGCAUUUGUGUAUUUGUAACCGAAAAUCACGGCUCGGCUGUUGGUGGUCGAUCGUUGAUUGGGAUACACGCGGUACUCCUGACCACCGAAAUGUUUGAAGGAAAGCAGUUUUGAUUUUCCUGUCAAUUCAGCAUGAAUUCACAAAUGGGCUCGCCACAUUUACUGACGGGCGUGUCUAUAGUAGGAUUGAUUGAUGCAAGUCAAUCAAUAGGUAUGAUUGCCGCUAGACAUGCUCGUUAGGAAAUGAUGGACAACAAGAACUCAGGCGACACAUAAUAAUGCCGUGGUGCCCUAUAGCAAGCAAUCCUUGUUUUCAAGAAGUACUUAUGCCGCUAGGCAUAUCUAGGUGCCGCGGGCUAAUCACAAAUGGGCCCUUCACAUUUACUGACGGGCGUGUCUAUAGUAGAAUUGAUUAACGCUAGUCAAUCAAUAGGUUUGAUUGCCGCUAGACAUGCUCGUCAAGAAAUGAUGGACGACGAGAACACGGGCGGCACAACAUAAUGCUAUGGCGCCCUAUAGCAGGCAUUCGUUGAUUUCAAGGAUUACUUACACCGCUAGGCAUAUCUAGAUGCCGCGGGAUUUUCCCCUUAGUUUUUCUUAGUCGGUUUAUCUGGAACUUCUAAGCCGUUUUGAUUUCUAUAUGUUAUCAGCCUAUGUUGGUGCUAACCUCGGCCACUUCAUAGGCUUUAAUCAAUUAGACUUUUCUCUUCGUUUGCGAAGUGGUAUGGUUGCUAAUCUGGGCCACUUCUUAGGCCUUUAAUCAAUUAGGCUUUUGUACAUAUGAGCACGUAAUAAUUAAAAAGAAGACUAGUAGUUAGUAGAGUAGUAUUGUUUAUAAUAUUUGCAAGAAAAAUUUAGCCAAGUACAAAGAGUCUAAUUCUCUACCAGGAACGUUUAGGCCGUUAGUAAACCGAAAUACAGGUAGGACAUUUUUAUACAGGACCGUCAGAGGUCGCGUAUUCAAAAGAAGUAUUUCUUGAGGUUAUCUGCAUACGGGGUGCAGAGGAUGGGACGUCCAUGCAUGUCCUAAAUUCGAUAGGUUCCAUCUCUAACAUCAUCAUAUAUCUCAUAUGGAUCUCCCCAAGUGGGAGUCAGCUUGUCAUGUUCCUUGGCUCGUCCUACAGACUGCAUUUUACUGAGGACGAAAUCCCCAACCUUCAGCGCUCGCUUUGAGACCUUUUUGUUGUAGGGGAAUACAGUUAAACAUAAUAACAUGUGCGGAACAAUCCCCAAAGCCGGGAAACAUGUAUAAAGCGCAGAUUAAGCAAACUUACAUUCGAAGCGUGUUUUCCACAAUAAUCUGUCAACGAACACGAACAAAGAACUCCACUUGUCGUUCCUCUACUUGGUUCACCGACACGAUCAGAUCCGUCUUCAUAAUCGUAGCUUAGACAAUUGAUCAAGAGAUUUGCUUUUGGGAUGAACACACUAUGGAGGCACUGAGAGAAUUAAGGUUCUCUGUUUUCUCCUAGGGUUGUGUGUAAUCUGAAUUGUGAUUGUACUAAGUUGGAAAUUAGGUUGUAAGGUUAUUUACAUAACCUUACUAACCGACCAAGCCAAGAGGCAAGGCCGGCUAGCAAGCCCGCAAGCCAAAACACACGGACACGCACAGCCAGUGGGCCGUGGGCCGCGCUGCUGCUGUGUCGUGGUCUCAGCCCGCAUGCACGCGCACAGCUCCGCGCCACAAGGGCCUCGCUGCUGCUGCGUUGCUUUGCUUGCUCGCCUAUGCGCGCGCCCAUGGGCCUCGUGUGCUUCGUGCACUCGGCUCGUGGGCCGCUCCUUGUAUUCGCGAUUAAAUAUAUUUCUGAUAUAUUUAUUUAUCAUUUCGUAUAAGACGAAUCACCGUCGCACGAUACGAUUUAUUUGUUUCGUCUAGCUUACGAAUAUUCGCGAUACGAUAUACGAUUCCGAUGCAAGGUCGUAUCGUAUAAUACGUUUCCAACUUAAAUCCCGAAAAGCUAUUAAAUGAACUUCCGAUUCAUUUAAUCCGGUGAUCUGUUACGUGUCAUUGGUGUGACCUUGUAGGUUCAGUCAAGAGUAAGUUGUGAGUGUUAGGUUAUGAUACAUAUGACAAUUCAUUAAUCAUGCGGAAAAACCAUAAAGCCAGGAAAGCAUAUUAUUUACACAUAAUCAUUUAGCAUAGAAUGGAUGCAUACAUGUUGUAGCGUGCCUUCCCUAGCUGCGCCCGAACCGAACAAGAACAAGUCUUUAGGACUCCAAAUGUCGUCCCUCCGUAGAUAGUCCACAGUACGUCCGGAUCCGCCUCAAGUUAGACCAACUAGAAUCGCCCUUAAGGUGCAAGUGUAUGGCUGAUUUUAUUUCAAGAACUUACCCUUUGAAUACUUCAAUCGUACCCAUAAAUUGUGACCCUAGGCACCUAUUUAUAGGAGUAUGGAAAAGGAAUUGUAAUCCUACUAGGAUGUGGAUUUGCUAGUUAGAACUUUAUUAGGACUCUAAAUAACAAAACAAAUCUAAUAGGAUUAGGAUUUUAAUCUUUGCACAAAUCCUAAUAGGAUUAGGAUUUCCCGCACAAGCAUUGCACAAGCCGUGCACCCGCGCAAGCCUUGCGGCCCACGACAGUCGCACAGCCCACGCUGCUGUGCUCUCGCGCGCGCGCGCCCUUGGAUGGGCCUGGCCUUGCGCUGGGCCUGGUCAAGGCGUGCGUUGGUGGGUGCUGCUCGCUGGGCGAUGGCCUGGCUUCGUGCUGGGCCUUCGUCUAGCGGGCUUCGUCCGAUGCUAAUUCGUACGAUACGCUUCCGAUUAAAUUCCCGAUUCCGGAAUUCAUUUCCGAUACGAACAAUAUUUAAUAUUUCCGAUUCCAGAAUUAAUUUCCGUUUCAAACAAAUAUUUAAUAUUUCCGUUUUCGGAAUUAUUUUCCGAUUCCGAUAAUAUUUCCGAGUCUGACAAUAUUUCCGUUUCCGGCAAUAUUUCCGAUUUCGGCAAUAUUUCCAUUUCCGAUAAUAUUUUCCGAUACGUACCAUGUUUCCGUUUCCGGCAACAUCUACGGCUUGGAUAAUAUUUAUAUUUCCGAUACGAUCCAUAUUUCCGUUUCCGGCAAUAUCAUCAUUUCCGGGGUAUUCAUUUCUUGCUUGUGACGAUCUCAGCUCCCACUGAAACCAAGAUCCGUCGAUUCCGAAUAUCCAUAGAUAGAGUAUUUAAUGCCAUUAAAUACUUGAUCUGUUUACGUACUAUUUGUGUGACCCUACGGGUUCAGUCAAGAGUAAGCUGUGGAUUAAUGUCAUUAAUUCCACUUGAACUGAAGCGGCCUCUAGCUAGACUUAACAUAGAAUGCAUACUUGGACCAAGGGCAUUAUUUCCUUUAGUCUCCCACUUGUCCUUAGGGACAAGUGGGCAUUACUUAAUUCCUUUGUCGCUUGAUGCUUGCUCUUGAACAUAAGGUAAGAGUUGUCAUCCUUAUUAUGUCCAGAGGUGUUUCUCGGUUUCAGAGUUCAACUGAUCAAAUAAACAGAUAAUCAUAGCCUAUGAUUCAUCCGAGCACGACCAUGCAUUUCACAGUUUCUAGCUCUCCGAGUGGCCUUGUACAACUUUUAAGCAUCUCAUCCCGAUUUAUGGGAGGACAAUCCCAAUCUUGCGAUCUUGAGAUUAGACUUCGUUUGAUAGGUGAUUACAUGAGCGUUGCCUUGAUAACCUCCUUUUACGGUGCGACGGUUGGUCAACGUCAAAGUAACCAGUUCUCAAACAAGUAAUCUCAAAUCACUCAGGUAUUGAGGAUUUAGUGUCUAAUAAUUUUAAUGAAAUUUACUUAUGACAUAUUUUCAUCUCUUACACUAAAGUUUCAUAGGUCUGUCCGAUACUAGUCUUCCCAAAGUAAGUAUCUAUGCAAAUGAUUAUGACAUUGCCAUGUCCACAUAGUUCAAGAAACAGAACUACUAGUCAUCUUGCAUUCUAGUCGUCUAACGUUUUCUAUGCGACCAAUUUUAUAGAAAACUCCGACCAGGGACCUUUUUCAACUUUUGACAUUCAAGUUCACUUGAUAGACAUUUCUUAGUCACAGGACUGGUCCUGACAGUCUAUCUUGAAUACAUCGUCAAAUUGAAGGGACUCAUCAUUUAAUACUAAACCAAGAUUAAAUGGAAUAUGAAAAAUACAUUUCAUAUAUGAUAAAUGUUCAACCCCAACGUUUUAUAACCAUGGGUCUCAAACCCAUCUUUAAAACAGUUCAUGGAAUUCAAAGCUAUGCUUGAUUUCCAGUGCCACAAUGUGAGUGUUGUUUCUCACUUGUUGCAUAAGUUUAGUUAUCAUGCUUUGCCAAUCUUAAUAUCCUUUUCAUCGAAUGUUCUUCGAGAUAGAUGAUAAGAUCUUUUGAGUAUGUUUAUUUUGUGAUCUAGUCUUUUCUUGCUUCAAGUGUGGUUCUACACAUUUUUCAAUGAAGAAUCAUCAAGUCAGUAGACAUGUGAUCUACCUAAGUUUAAUGAAGAACUCAUUAAUACAAACAACUCUGUUUUAUUGCUUCUUAGGCAAUAAGUACUUCUACUUCAAUUGUUUAGGUUGCUAGUGAUGCUUUGGUUGGAUUUACUUAUCCAAGAAGUUCACAGAUAUGUGAAAGACUUUCCAGCUGUAUCUUAGAACAUAGAAAUUAAUAUUUAAUUUCCCACGCAACAACUCAUGGUCUCCAAUCCUUGUUGCCAUUUCAAAACACGAUGCUCUAUAGCUCGUCCUUAUCAAUGGUUAACUCCAAAGGAAUCUUGCUUGAUCCUUUGCCAGUGUUUAUGCGUGUAGCAUCAAUAUUUAGCAUAUCUUUAUUUCCUUGAAUCAAGAACUAUUCCUAUGUACCUUUUCAAGUACCAUAAGUAUUCUUGAUCUUCACUUAGAUCAAUAGAGAUUGGUAUAUGUUCGUCAUGCCUAAAGUCAUACAAUACGUUUUUGGCGAUCCUCAUAUUAUAUCAUACAUGAUAAAUUCUUUUUCAGAAUAAUUCCCAAUUGAAUUCUAUUCAUGUAACUUUAGCUCAUCUAGUUUCAGUAGAUACUAAAUCCAGCUAAAUUCUUUGACAUAUAAUAUAGGUUAAGAAUUUUACUUAGAUCCUUUGAUGUUUAACUUAGUAAAUGCUUAUACAUAGUUCAAACAUUCUUUACUUAGAUUUAUUCACAUGGGUCGAAUAUCUCCAAUGGAGUCUUUCGUAUUUGAUUUAGUAAAUGCCAUUACUUAAUCCAAAACAUUAUGAUAAGAUAGAUCUUAAUACCCAGUAUGCACUAAGUUUCGCCUUGGUCCGUCAUUGAUUAAUAAUUUCAAAUCUAAGUCGUUAGCAUUUGAAUGUUAUUUCACAAUAGAGAGAUAUGUGUGUGAUACACAUAGGACCAAUUAAGUUUUUAUGUACUCCCACUAAACUUCUUAUAUAUCUAUAAGAAUCAUGUACAUUUUAUGAAACUAAAAUAAUUAUUAGCUUCAUUAAAAUACAUUUCUAAUUCCCAAUUGCUUGCUUAAAUCUGUACUUAGAUUUCAUAAGCUAGCUUUCUUUUUCAAGCAUUUAUUUGGAUCCACAAAUCCUAUGACAUACCAUGUACAUAGUUUAUUCCAACAUUUUAUUGAGGAAUUGUUUUGUCAUCCAAUUGCCAUAUGUACCAAUAUGCAAUCAUUGCUUGAUUUAUAGACUUGAGCAUUAUGAUUAUGCAUGAGGUUUCAACACAAUCCACGCCGUGAAUUUGCUUGUAAUCUUUAGCAUCUAAUCUAGCUUUGUGUGUGAACACAAUUUCAUGUUUGAUGGUUUUUAUCCUUAAA